rnacentral:rRNA from 1 species
UGGGGAAUCUUGCGCAAUGGUCUAACGACUGACGCAGCGACGCCGCGUGUGGGAGGACGCCCCUCGGGGUGUAAACCACUGUUGCCCGGGACGAACCGCUCGUUUCGACGAGCCUGACGGUACCGGGUGAGGAAGCACCGGCUAACUCCGUGCCAGCAGCCGCGGUAAUACGGAGGGUGCGAGCGUUGUCCGGAAUCACUGGGCGUAAAGGGCGCGUAGGCGGCCCGGUAAGUCUGCGGUGAAAGCCCGGGGCUCAACCCCGGGUCGGCCGUGGGUACUGCGGGGCUCGAGCACUGUAGGGGCAGGCGGAAUUCCGGGUGUAGCGGUGGAAUGCGUAGAGAUCCGGAAGAACACCGGUGGCGAAGGCGGCCUGCUGGGCAGUGGCUGACGCUGAGGCGCGACAGCGUGGGGAGCAAACAGG